CACACGUUCACGCUGCAUACAUCCUGCAAGCCACCACCAUGCUGCUGUCUCAUCCUGGGGAGAGAGUUUAACCUCCCUAAGGGGAGGCAGGGACAACUUUGAGGUCCUCCUUGUGAGUUAAAUGAGAAAAUCUGAGCACAAGCUUUGCACUGUGCUUGAGAACCAGCAGCCUCAGUGGCAGCCCUUCCUCAUGUGUGCUUAGCAAUGGCUCUAAUAUGCCAUAUUUGAAGAGACUGCAAAACUAGGCUGGCACUGGCUGAGCUCUCGGGCCACCAGCCCUCGGCACUCCUGCCUUCUCCCAAGGUGACCCAGCACUGGCCUGCCAGCUCUGUCCAGAGCUGCUGAGUGAGUAAUUUUCUGAAAUGAAUCAAAACCAGUCGACAAGAGUCUCCUGAGCUGUCCAGAUGAACUGCUGACCAGACAAAGGGCUGACAGACAUGGCCCACUGGAAGGUCCUUAGCACAUCAGGAAGCAAGUGCCACAAGGAAGCAUGAUUUCAGAAGCCCAGAGCACCGCAGGCCUGUGGACACAUGCUCCCACCCCCUUACGUGUCUGUCUGUCCAUCAGUGUCAUCUGUCCAUCCCUGUCCCUUUCCAUGCAUCACAUUUUAUUUUCUCAGAGAGGGGUUUGAUCUUUAGCACAGGCUUGAACCUGGGACUUACUAUGUAGCCUAGGUUGGCCUCAAACUCUCAGCAAUCCUCUUCCUCAGCCUCCCAAAUGCUAGGUUUACAGGCAUUCACGUUUAUUGCCCCUUUUUUGCCAGCUUCAUGAAGAGCCACCAGAGGAGCCUGCCAAGGCGAGGCAGCACCUUAACUUUCAGUCUCUUGCAAACUGAGUCCUUAUCACUUCUCAGCCUGGAGGAAACAACAGCCCUACCUGAGGCCAUCACAACCACAUGAGUUUCCUGGUUACAUCACUCAUCUGUGCACAGAAGUUCAUCACAACCUAAGGCACACACCGAAGGUCCUGGCCUGGCAUUCUCCAGCCUCCAGAUUCCCCUGUCAUCUGGCUGCAGAAAUGCCCAAGCAAUGUCACCCACUCCUAAAGGCCGCUCACUCUCUGCUCCCCCUGCCUGACAGAUGCUUCAACUCUGUGCCUUCUGGGCUUAUAGGGAUGCUAACAUAGGGGAUAGAGAGGAAGGAAGAAAAGGAGGAAA